rnacentral:rRNA from 1 species
GAUUCUGGCUCAGGAUGAACGCUGGCGGCGUGCUUAACGCAUGCAAGUCGAACGGAGAUUAGACGUUGACGAGACUUCGGUUAAAUCUUGUUUAAUCUUAGUGGCGGACGGGUGAGUAACGCGUGGGUAACCUGCCGUAUGCAGGGGGACAACAGUUGGAAACGACUGCUAAUACCGCAUAAGCGCACGGUUUUGCAUGAAACAGUGUGAAAAGAUUUAUCGGCAUACGAUGGACCCGCGUUUGAUUAGCUAGUUGGUGAGGUAACGGCCCACCAAGGCGACGAUCAAUAGCCGGCCUGAGAGGGCAAUCGGCCACAUUGGGACUGAGACACGGCCCAAACUCCUACGGGAGGCAGCAGUGGGGAAUAUUGCACAAUGGGGGAAACCCUGAUGCAGCCGACGCCGCGUGAGUGAAGAAGUAUUUCGGUACGUAAAGCUCUAUCAGCAGGGAAGAUGAUGACGGUACCUGACUAAGAAGCCCCGGCUAACUACGUGCCAGCAGCUGC